rnacentral:rRNA from 1 species
UACGUAGGGGGCGAGCGUUGUCCGGAGUUACUGGGCGUAAAGGGCACGCAGGCGGUGCGGCGCGUUUCGCGUGACAGCGGAGGGCUUAACUCUCCGAGGAUGCGAAAGACGGCGGCACUUGAGGGCCAGAGAGGGACACGGAAUUCCGGGUGGAGUGGUGAAAUGCGUAGAGAUCCGGAGGAACACCGAAGGCGAAGGCAGUGUCCUGGCUGGUGACUGACGCUGAGGAACGAAAGCUAGGGGAGCAAACAGG